UGGGGAAUAUUGGACAAUGGGCGCAAGCCUGAUCCAGCCAUGCCGCGUGUGUGAUGAAGGCCUUAGGGUUGUAAAGCACUUUCGCCGAUGAAGAUAAUGACUGUAGUCGGAGAAGAAGCCCCGGCUAACUUCGUGCCAGCAGCCGCGGUAAUACGAAGGGGGCAAGCGUUGUUCGGAUUUACUGGGCGUAAAGCGUACGUAGGCGGAUGAUUAAGUCAGGGGUGAAAUCCCGGGGCUCAACCUCGGAACUGCCUUUGAUACUGGUCGUCUUGAGUCCGGGAGAGGUGAGUGGAACUCCUAGUGUAGAGGUGAAAUUCGUAGAUAUUAGGAAGAACACCAGUGGCGAAGGCGGCUCACUGGCCCGGAACUGACGCUGAGGUACGAAAGCGUGGGGAGCAAACAGGAUUAGAUACCCUGGUAGUCCACGCCGUAAACGAUGGAUGCUAGCCGUCGGGGAGCUUGCUCUUCGGUGGCGCAGCUAACGCAUUAAGCAUCCCGCCUGGGGAGUACGGUCGCAAGAUUAAAACUUAAAUGAAUUGACGGGGUCAUAGCU
rnacentral:rRNA from 1 species